GGGUUGAUCGAUGAGAACCUUAUAUUGUCUGAAGGAGGUGAUGGCUAAAUCAUCUCCAAUAGGAUUACGCUGAGGCCA